CACGUUAUUCCUGAGCCGCCUCAGAGGAACUCGUCGAUCCGGUCUGCUUACAGCGCUGAGCUCAAUGACAUCAUACGGAUGGUGAUGUCAGGCAGUUGGGGGCAAACCCUGACAGGAGAUACCCUUCAAAUACCGCCU